AAGGAAGAAAUACUUCUUAAAAUUGUAAGUUAUAAGAAGAACCUCAACCACAACCAUUUCGGUUU
rnacentral:tRNA from 1 species